UGACACAGUGAGGGUCAGACAUUAUUUGAGU
rnacentral:piRNA from 1 species